rnacentral:rRNA from 1 species
GUUGUUUUCUCGAAAAUCAAUUAAAAAUAGUUGGAUUUUGUAUUGUGAUGACUUUAUCAGCUUCCUGUACUUUUUUCUUACUAUUUUUAAUGCACUUUUCGUUUAACAAGUCAACAUCAAUUUCUUUUGUUGUAAAAGAGUCAUUGGAAGGUGGCUUUCACUUCGGUGAAAGUGUUUAUAGCCUUUGGCUUCUGCAAUCGGAGAGAUUGAGGUCUGCAGCGUAGAUCCUUCGGGGUUAGAUACGUAGAUGCUAAGUUAUAAUUAUUUAUAAACAACUUGUUGAUUAUAAGUAAUCAUGUAGCUUACUCGUUUGCGCUAUUUUACCUAC